rnacentral:lncRNA from 1 species
AUGGAGUGCUUCUGUCUGCAUACCAUGAGCCCUCACCUCCUCCUGAUUUCAAACGCUCGGGGGAGGUUAGGAUCGCUUUGUUUGCCCUGCCAAAGAGUACAUGCUGUAACAAGUGAAUGUGGGCAUAAGUGGUGUGCCACAAACUUCACUCCGUGCCACUUAAGGAAGGACGGGGAGAACUGGAUAUCCGCCAGCCAGUAUAAAGAUUAAGAUCCUGAAGGGAGGUGCUCUGGCCAUGAUGUGACCAGCCAUCAGCAGCACAGGAGCACACCAGUGGAGGAUCCAGAUCUGUUCCUGCUCAGGGUCAUGUCAGUGCUGCUGGCCAGGUUUGACCCUCAGAGCCAGGGCAGACCCAGGGCUUCUGCCUGUGGGUUUCUCAUAGGCAAUGUGCAAGGCCUGGGAGAAAAAAAGGAAAGGAGAGGAGAGGAGAGGAGAGGAGGGGAGGGGAGGGGAGGGGAGAGAUUAGGAACAACUGUGUGAGAGCUUAAUUUUCAACUGCAUUUUCCUGCUCAGGGUCAUGUCAGUGCUGCUGGCCAGGUUUGACCCUCAGAGCCAGGGCAGACCCAGGGCUUCUGCCUGUGGGUUUCUCAUAGGCAAUGUGCAAGGCCUGGGAGAAAAAAAGGAAAGGAGAGGAGAGGAGAGGAGAGGAGAGGAGAGGAGAGGAGAGGAGAGAUUAGGAACAACUGUGUGAGAGCUUAAUUUUCAACUGCAUUUUCCAGCAGUUAUGCCCUCUUAUUUCCAAGGGAUUCAGAUAAUGUAACCCAGAUGCUUCUCUGGCUAUCACUUGAGAGAUUCAAAAGUGGUUUUUUUUUUUUUUUUCCUUCAGUCAGGAAAUGAAAAAAUCCUUUUAUAGCUGUUUCAUUUCAACAGAUGAUUUUGCCGUCAGCUUUUUAACUUCUAACUAAAUACAAAAUCAAAAUGAAAAUGAAAAGUCAUUUCAACUGACAAACUUUUUUCCAGACUCUUUCAAUAUUGUUCCAACUUUCUCCCCUCUUUUUACUGAAAUUUUAUGAUGGGCAAAAAUUGAAUAAUUUUAUACAUCUUAAAAAUAUAUUUUAUUAAAAGUAGUACCACUUUUUUAAUGCAAAGCAGCUUUUCUAGCAGCUCUACCUCCCACACUUAAAUUCAACCUUCCACAGUAAACUCAAACUACUCUUUAAAACAUUUAUUAGACAUGUUCUGCAGAAUGCUACAUAUCCUCUGCUCUUUUGGACGUGUGCAGAGGGUGUUUGACAUCUUAAAGCCAGAGAUGUUUAGAAUGCAAAUAAACGUGCAAGGGUGCUAUUUUUUUUUCUAAUG